CUUGGACCCACUUGAUAGCGUAACCGUUUAGUGCGCGUCAUUCGCUUCUCUGCUCGUCUUCUCUCUUUGCUUCCGAUUCAAGGUUGCUCCGGCCGAGUUCUUAGUAGAUGGAUGAAGCCCCCCCUCUCCAAGUUGGCUCUGUUAUUGGUGGAUUUCAUGUUCUUGGGACUCCCAUCGAUCCAAGGUGGUAAGAAGCCUCGUGCUUGGUGCCUCACUUGACGCCCUAAUUAUGAAUUGUAUUAGGAGCUUGGAAUUUUGGAAAUGGAUUUGUGGAUGCUAGCAAAAGAUGAUAGACGUCUGCAACACUUCCUAUUUGCUUGCUGCAAAUCAGAUCAGCGGUUGUGGUAACACAUAAGUUCUGCAUCGUCUGCUGUUUAUAUUUUGAUCAUAACACAUAAAUGCAGAAGAGGAGAUCGGUCCUGCAGAAAGUGGAAGCGGAAGAUAAAGUUAGUCUGCUACAGGGAUCAUGACAGUGGAAGAUAAAAGAAAGCAAUGACAACGUCGUGACAGUCGAAGUUAAAGAUGGAUAGAUCCUUCUCCGAUAGACGAAGGAAAGUGUGACUUUUUCAAGAGGCCUUGGAGGCGUUCCUUAUCGACAUCAUGUUAUCAGGGACAUGGCCUGCUCCUGUUGACCUUUGAAUUGAGGUCAACAAUGUUAAAGAUGAUAUGCGUCCAUCUCUAUGAGCCCUUUCAAGUUUGACACGUCUUGUUCUUAGUCGACCACUUCGCUCGUCAUAGUGGCCUCAUGCUCCAUCAGCCGUGUAUGUUUGGUCGACCGAGUCUGAUUUAUCCUUCUGGUCAAUGGUUAAUGCGUUACGAUGUUGACAUAGUGAUAUGGGUUUCAUAGUGUCGUCAUA